rnacentral:rRNA from 1 species
UACGUAGGGGGCUAGCGUUGUCCGGAUUUAUUGGGCGUAAAGAGCGUGUAGGCGGCCAGGUAGGUCUGCUGUGAAAACUCGAGGCUCAACCUCGAGACGUCGGCGGAAACCAUCUGGCUAGAGUCCGGAAGAGGAGAGUGGAAUUCCUGGUGUAGCGGUGAAAUGCGCAGAUAUCAGGAAGAACACCCGUGGCGAAGGCGGCUCUCUGGGACGGUACUGGACGCUGAGACGCGAAAGCGUGGGGAGCGAACAGG